rnacentral:lncRNA from 1 species
UUCAUGCCUUUAGAUGAAAAUGGCCUCAAGAACUCAAGAAAUCGCCUCAAGUUGUGCCAGGGUUGCUUUGAUUAAAAAUCAUAUUCCACAUUGAAGGAAUUUUUAUUCCAAUUCCCAGGAAGCUGUAGAAAUUAUCAUCAGGCUGUGUGUAGCAAGCUGAGAUUUUGACACUUCAUAGAGACACAUACCUGAACAUAAAAAAAUGUGGCUACUGAGAGGAAGACAGAACAAGACAGGAACAAAGAAGCUUUGCCAUGGCACAUCUGAAAAUAUCUUCUGCUUCCCCAUUGCAGUAUUAACUGAAAAUACAUGUUAUGAUUUUAAGCUGUAGUAGUACAAUGACAAUAAAAUCAGCAACAGCAUUCA